AAAAGAGUAGAAGCCCUAGCCUAGCCUCCACCUUUUCUUCUCUCCUUCUCCCUCUCUCCUUCUCCCUCUCUUCACGAUAAUAUAGCUGCCACCCCCAGUCCGUGCGUUCUCUUCAGUCGCCGGUCCUUCUUCUUCAACUCCGGCAUUCCUCUAGCAAUAGACCCACGCUACCCUCCGGUGCCAGCGGUCAACAGCACGGGCAGACGACAGCGCAACACCCAACAACAACCCAGGCGACCUCCUCUGCGCGCGAAUCGGUGUCUGUCCGCGAGCUCCGGCCAACGCACGCGACUGGAGCAUCCUGGCAGCGGCGUUUUUUUUACCCUUUCCGUGAGUUUCGACACUUACCCACUGAAUUUUUGGCAUCGAAAUAGAAAUACCCACUUCCUAACGGCUCCGAGUUUGUAGGAUUAAGUCUAUUCGGACCCCAAUCAGCAAAGAUUCGGAUUCUUUUAGAUCCAGAAUAGUUUCAGGGUUAUUCGAACUCAUUUCAACAAGAACCCAAGUCUUUUUGUUUGGGCUUGAUUUGAAGUGUUUGGAUUGAGGUUUAAGGUCGCUUUGGAGAACAAUUGCUGUGGGAAGUAGGCACCUACUCUGAAGGAUAAAGUACCUUUACCGAAGUAAAAAAACCUCAACUACACUGAAAUAAUGUCUUCAUCCAAAGAUGCGGAUCCAACCCUAGGCUACCUCACUCGAAAGGAUGCAGAGGUGAAGUUACCGCGACCCACUAGGGUGAAGAACAAGACUCCGGCUCCAAUUCAAAUAACUGCAGAGCAGAUCCUUCGUGAGGCUCGAGAACGACAGGAGGCGGAAAUUAGACCACCCAAACAAAAAAUUACUGAUCCGACUGAACUUGCUGAUUAUCGCCUACGCAAGCGGAAGGAGUUUGAAGACCUUAUACGUCGUGUCAGGUGGAAUGUUAGUGUCUGGGUCAAGUAUGCUCAAUGGGAAGAGUCUCAAAAGGACUUCAAUCGGGCUCGUUCUGUUUGGGAGCGUGCCCUUGAGGUCGAUUACCGAAACCAUACCCUUUGGCUCAAGUAUGCAGAGGUUGAGAUGAAAAAUAAGUUUAUCAACCAUGCGAGGAAUGUUUGGGAUAGGGCAGUUACCCUCUUGCCAAGAGUGGACCAACUAUGGUACAAGUAUCUCCAUAUGGAGGAAAUGUUGGGGAACAUUGCUGGUGCAAGGCAGAUUUUUGAGAGAUGGAUGAGCUGGAUGCCGGACCAGCAAGGUUGGCUCUCUUACAUCAAGUUUGAGUUGAGAUACAAUGAGGUUGAACGUGCACGAGGCAUAUUUGAGCGCUUCGUUCAAUGCCACCCCAAAGUUGGGGCAUGGAUACGUUUUGCCAAAUUUGAGAUGAAAAAUGGGGAAAUUGCUAGAGCAAGAAAUUUAUAUGAGAGAGCCGUUGAGAAGUUAGCUGAUGAUGAAGAGGCAGAACAACUGUUUGUUGCUUUUGCUGAAUUUGAGGAGAGGUGUAAGGAAACAGAACGGGCACGGUGUAUAUAUAAGUUUGCCUUAGAUCAUAUCCCCAAAGGUAGAGCUGAGGAUAUCUACAGGAAGUUUGUGGCAUUUGAGAAGCAGUAUGGGGAUAAGGAAGGAAUAGAAGAUGCUAUAGUGGGGAAGAGGAGGUUUCAGUAUGAAGAGGAAGUGAGGAAGAAUCCCCUAAAUUAUGAUUCUUGGUUUGAUUAUAUACGGUUGGAGGAGAGUGCAGGGAACAAGGAGAGAAUCAGGGAAGUUUAUGAGAGGGCAAUAGCCAAUGUUCCUCCAGCUGAAGAGAAACGGUACUGGCAGCGUUAUAUUUAUCUAUGGAUCAAUUAUGCACUAUAUGAAGAGUUGGAUGCUGCAGAUGCUGAGCGUACCCGUGAUAUCUAUAGGGAGUGCCUAAAUUUGAUUCCUCAUGCGAAGUUUUCAUUUGCAAAGAUAUGGCUAUUAGCUGCACAAUUUGAAAUACGACAAUUGAACCUUAAAGGUGCCCGACAAAUUCUAGGCAAUGCCAUUGGGAGGGCUCCUAAAGAUAAGAUAUUCAAGAAGUAUAUAGAGAUAGAGCUGCAGCUGGGAAACAUAGAUCGAUGCCGUAAACUUUAUGAGAAGUAUUUGGUGUGGUCACCUGAAAAUUGUUAUGCAUGGAGUAAAUAUGCAGAGUUGGAGAGAUCUCUAUGUGAAACUGAUCGAGCGAGGUCUAUAUUUGAGCUUGCAAUUGCACAGCCUGCACUGGAUAUGCCAGAGUUAUUGUGGAAGGCCUACAUUGAUUUUGAGAUAUCAGAACAUGAAUUUCAAAGAACUAGAGAGCUAUACGAGAGACUUCUAGACAGAACAAAACACUUGAAAGUGUGGAUCAGUUAUGCCAAAUUUGAGGCAUCGGCAAUGGAGGAUGACAGCCAGCUUUUGGAAUUACCAGAAGACAACAUGCAGGAAUAUCUUCAUGCACGGAAGCAACAAUGUAUUCAACAGGCUAGAAGGGUCUUCGAAAAAGCUAUUACUUACUACAGAAAUUCAGCACCAGAGUUGAAAGAGGAGAGAGCUAUGCUCCUUGAGGAAUGGUUGAAUAUGGAGACAAGUUUUGGUGAGCUUGGUGAUGUCAGCUUAGUGCAGUCUAAGCUUCCAAAGAAGCUGAAGAAGAGGCGUCAAAUUGUUAGUGAGGAUGGUCCGGCUGGGUUCGAGGAAUACAUAGGUUACUUGUUCCCUGAAGAAACACAAACGACAAAUCUCAAGAUCCUUGAAGCUGCAUACCGUUGGAAGAAGCAGAAAGUUGAUGAUAAUUAAGUUGGCCUUUCUUUCACUCUCCGCUCCUCACAAUGGAUCUUGCUUGUGUACUUGGAAGGAAGGUUUGGGCUUUGCUACAGAAACUGGCAACGGCACCUGAUACUCUUGGUAGGAUGGAAUUGCCCGAUGUGACUGAAUGGACAUGUCAGACUGUUUCAAAAUUUUCGGAUUUUAAAUUUGAAAAGUGAAGAACACGGGAUACUCACAUCUAUGAAGGAGGUUUGAGAUUUCUUCCCUUUAUCUUUUUCCGACUUGCAUCUGAAAUCACUAAUAGUCUCCGCUAAUCAACGUGGCAGACUAAAUUAAGGUAAUUUCACCGUCUGCUCUCUAUUUGCAAUUUAUAAUUAUACCUUCAUUUUUUUUACUUUUGAUUUUUAGUCUCCUGCACUUUCGAUGUAAAGUAUCCAAUCAUGUUUAUACCACUGUUUGUUCAGAAAUUUGUGUUCGAGUAUAUGGUUCAAUUUCUAUACUUUCUAGAAAAUAGGGUAUUGAGGUUCAAUGCGGAACCAAACUUGUCUGGAGAAAUAUUAUCUUUUUGGACAGCUAGAUUCCAAAUUCACUAGUUCCUGUACUAUAAAUGUGUCUACCCUCACAUUGAACCUAGUAGAAUUGUAUGAAGAAUGAACAGCACAUGUACUAAAUAUCUAUUCUCUUUCUAUAAAGACUGUGCCUGCCUCAAUAAGACUCCGAUUCAUAAUGAUUUGUUUUUAGUUUUUAGUUUUUGAAAGUUAUGCUUGUUUACUCACUAUUUGGAUGGUAUGGUUUUCAGUUUUCUUGAAGAAUGGUUUGAAUUCUUAGGCAAAUUUCAAAACAAAAUAAUCUUAAAAAAUAGAAUUUUUAAGUCUUUUUUUCUGUUUUUGAAAUUAGGCUAAGAAUUCAAAUGUAAUAUAUUAGUCAUCAUUAGAAAGAAAAGGGGAAUAAGAACAUUUUUCCAAAUAGUAAUGAAAUGGGGCUUAAGAGUUCUUUCUUCAUUAAGCUUACCCAAAGAUUCACUAAGUAUGUAUUCUGCAGAUGAAGCUCAUGGAUUAUUAACUACUACGAUCUGAUGCUAAGGUUUCUUUUUGAGAUGGGACUGAGGAAUAAACUUUCUUAGUUGAAUGGUUGAAUCUCUGGAACCAUGAUCAAUCACUUUGCUUAUUCAAUUCUCCAAUGGUACAGAUGUUAAUACAAAUUCCAUAGCAGGGUUAAUGUUGUACGACUGACCCCAGGCUAAUUUGUAGUGCCUUUUCUUGAUAC